rnacentral:tRNA from 1 species
AUAGCUUAGCAUUAGAGCACAGGACUUGGAGGCCUGAGGUCCCAGGUUUGAUCCCUGGU